rnacentral:snRNA from 1 species
GUACUUGCUUCGGCAGUACACAUACUAAAAUUGGAACGAUACAGAGAAGAUUAGCAUGGCUCCUGCGCAAGGAUGACACGCAAAUUCGUGAAGCGUUCCAUAAUUAC